CAAUAGCGUAUAUUAAAGUUGUUGCAGUUAAAAAGCUCGUAGUUGGAUUUGUGGCGUACGGUGUGUUCCGGGCACUUGUUGUCUGAGUAACCUGCUGUUGCCAUCCUUGGGUGGAACCUGUGUGGCAUUAGGUUGUCGUGCAGGGGAUGCCCAUCAUUUACUGUGAAAAAAUUAGAGUGUUCAAAGCAGGCUUAUGCCGUUGAAUAUAUUAGCAUGGAAUAAUGAGAUAGGACUUUUUUGCUAUUUUGUUGGUUUGCGCGAAGAGGUAAUGAUUAAUAGGGACAGUUGGGGGUAUUCGUAUUCCAUUGUCAGAGGUGAAAUUCUUGGAUUUUUGGAAGACGAACUACUGCGAAAGCAUUUACCAAGGAUGUUUUCAUUAA
rnacentral:rRNA from 1 species